UCUUAAUCGUAUUUAUUAUUUUUUGCUUUAAAUAAUAAAAACUAAUGAUUUAUAAUUGAUUAAAGAUACAUAAUAUAUUCACAAUAGGUAAAUUAUAAUUUAUGCAAUUUGUUUUUUUUUCAAAUUAUCAUAUUUUAAAUUUAAUAUUUACUAAAGGUAAUGCGUGUUUGGUUGUAGUUUAAAGAUUUAUAAAGUAUCGACCGAUUUUAUGUAUUUUAUGAACAUUUUGGAAAAUGUUUUUAGAAAUACCAGGAAAGUUUUGAAAAUACCUAAACUAAACAAUUUCUGAUACGUGGUACUGUAAAAACUUUUUUUAUAUUUUUGUUAAUUGUGUGCCUUAUUAUUACCUAUUAACUAAUACAAAGUAUUGUUUUGGAGAAUAAUGUUAAAAUAACGUACCUACGUUGUUACUGUUAUUAUUUUUUUUCACGGAAGAAGCCAGUUAAUAAAAUGCAUAAAGAAAUGUAAUUGUUUAACAAUAAUAUUAUCUUAGUAACCAGUCAAACAUCAUACAUUUUUUAUCGAGAUAUUUUAUCGCUGAUGUUUUUGUUUCGUAGAACUUAUGAAUUACGCCUUCCUUUUCGUAGACGUUUUUGGUCCUAUAGCUGAGUUCAAUUGUCAGCGCAUAUGAAAACGACAACGAGGAGUGUCAUCGGUUCGGACGUAAUCAAAAACAAAUUAAAACCCGUGAAUAAUACAAUGACAGUGGUACAAACGAGACUACGCGUUGACACGUGAAUGUGACUACACGAACAUCGUGUAUGACGGAGAACCCUCGAUAACAAUCGACGUCGUCGGCUGUGCAGGAGCGUAGGGUUAGCAUUGUUGUUGUGGUCGUCGUCAUCGUGACAAUUGGUGGUUUUGAUGAGCCACGCUGACUCUCGGCUGAAAUUGUGAUUUUCCGUCGUUUAGCCCGGUAGAGACCGAUUUUUUGUUUUAUGUUACGUCUGGUGUGUUUUUGGCUCCUAUAAACCUUACCUAUUAUAAGGUUCUGAUAUUAAUGGAUAGCGCGUUUAUGAAUUGAAGGGUAUUGAAUAUAAUCGACUUGAUUUGGGUUCGAGUUUUGAAUUUAUAAAAUGUUUAUUGGCCAUGUGUCUUAUGUUUACAUAUAUAUCAUUCUCGAGAAAUAGUUAUAUUAUAUCAUUUAAAACCGUGACAUUUUUUUUUUUUUUUUAAUACUUAUUUGUUUACAAUUUUUUUUUGUCAUUGUGUAGCAGACAUUUAUUAAGCGUGUUAUGGAAGUUUGCGAGAACAACACUAAUAAUAAUCGAGGUUUCCCGUUUGAUUACGUUUUUAAUAAUAAUAAUAUAAUAGGUGUGCUGUUAGAUAUAGUGUGUUAUAAAUUAAUUAUUCAUUCGUAAAUAGUAAAGUUUACAGUUUUUAUUUACAUUAACAUAUUAUAAAGUGCAAUUAAAAAUUGUAGUUAUCAUCUGAAUUAUUUACAAACAAAACAAAUCCAAAACAAUUAGUUAUUUUUUUACCUAAAAAAAGUUCAUUAAUUUUAUGAUUAUUUAUUUAUCGUAUAUAUUAAUAACAUUAUACUCUGUAAUAUCAAGACAAUUUUUUCGAUUUAAUUUUCAAAUUUAUAAUAAACUGCAGUAUAAAAAUAUUAUAAUAUUCAUAAAACACAUCGAAUGAAAUUCAGAAAUAAUGACCGGACUUCGAACCAUCCAAUCGGAAGGAACGAUGGUGUUUCCGGUAGGCAGUUGAUUUACUAUCUCGUCCCGACCCCUUAUAGGGAUGAUGCGGAAGUUCUAUUACGCCGGAAGCCGGAUGUGGCAUGGCUAGAGGGAAAAAUAUUGGCUCAGCGUCGGUAUGGUCGUUUGGACAACACUCUUGGGAAUAGUCGUCUUAGGAACUUAUGAGUUUACUCGAUGAAAAUCUGGAAACCCUUUGGCCAUAUCGUUCAAGAAGUAUUGAAGGAAAAUAAAUGAAAAACGUGUCUUUGCCGCAAGGAAACUAACACUGAUGAAAUCAAUAGUGGAUCGGCCACAAACCAAUUUCCUUGACUUCAAAGCCCUCUGGGAAUGUUUACACACGAUGGUGAAAUUAAAACUUAACGUUCGUAUACAGGAAUACAACAAUUAUAUCUUGGCAAUGCUAUUGCGGCGGAUACUAUAAUAUACUCAAACCACUUCCGUUUCCAGUUCGUCCCGCUUCAGACAUUAAGCAUGUUUAUAAUCCAAUAUUAAAUUUAAAUCGAUAUAUUUUAA